rnacentral:rRNA from 1 species
UACAGAGGUCUCAAGCGUUGUUCGGAUUCAUUGGGCGUAAAGGGUGCGUAGGUGGCGCGCUAAGUCAGGUGUGAAAUUUCGGAGCUUAACUCCGAAAGUGUCACAUUUGAUACUGGCGUGCUUGAGGACUGGAGAGGAGACUGGAAUUCAUGGUGUAGCAGUGAAAUGCGUAGAGAUCAUGAGGAAGACCAGUGGCGAAGGCGGGUCUCUGGACAGUUCCUGACACUGAGGCACGAAGGCCAGGGGAGCAAACGGG